rnacentral:lncRNA from 1 species
GAUACAAAAUAUAUAAAAACGUGAUUAGCUGAUUUAUUUGGAGUGAUGCUUUCCAAAUCUGGUGACUAAAGUAGAUAAUACCUAUCAGCUAGAUGAUGGAUUCAAAAUGGGAACUUCGUGGAAAUUGAUUGCCAUGCUAUAAAUUCUCAUUUUUAGCCAUGUGAAGAACAUUUACAGGUCUAGGAACUCCAUCAGCUUGAGUGUAGUCAUCUGCUUUGAAAAUGAAACAAUAAUUUAUGAAAUGUACCCUUCCAUCACUUUUGUCUAUAUCCUCAUUCUUGUAAACUAAUCUGAUUGGAACUUAUUAUUUUAGGUCGGAUCUGUGACAGCUAUAUGCUUCAUUUGUUUCCUAAUAAGGUGCUUUGUGGUAAGGUCAAAAUUUCCUUUCUUUAUUACAUUUAUGCAAGUUAGUGGCUGUUUAAAAUUUGACAUUAAUGAGUUGAAUAGAUUUGAUCAUUUUGCUCAUCUCUGGUUGUAUCAAUGGUGUUAAUAGAAUCUCCGUGCUUCUGCAAGUAUAGAAAGCUCUUUUUUCUUAGUCAUUAUGCAUCAUUCACGUAACGAAUGCAUUUGUUUUUAUUGUUAUUGCUCCCAGAAGAAAGGGGAAGGGAGCUGGGAUGAAGCCAAUAUCUCCCUUCCCUCAUCCAUAUAAAGUGUGUGAAUCAUCUUGUUCUCUCCUUUAGAAUGACAUCCUUUUAGUCCCGUAGUUUUCAUGGUUUCCAUGUUUUGAGCAUAAUUCUGAGACAAUCAUCACCUUUAGAAUGACAUCCUUUUAGUCCGUCUUGGGCUUGGUGUGUUUGAAUAUUUCACUACUUGUUUAUAUAUAUGACAAGUGUAAUCUACACAGGUCCGUUGAAGAUCUUAUGAUUCAACUCAUUUUACUUAUAUUAGCAGUCUCGUUUAUUACUAAAUGAGUUUUGUACCCAAAGGGAUGUUCAGGAUUCGAAAUAACCUCUCUUUUAACUUUUGAGGUUUAUCUCUACUUCCCUUGCCUAGCAAUGGGUGGGGAAAACUUAUACAUAUUUUUAUCCAUCUCAUCAUUACCUCAACAGAUAAUUGGUGCAGCGGCAGUACUUGGAUUUGGAGUGAGCAAAUUUUCUCCAUCUGAUACAAAAUAUAUAAAAACGUGAUUAGCUGAUUUAUUUGGAGUGAUGCUUUCCAAAUCUGGUGACUAAAGUAGAUAAUACCUAUCAGCUAGAUGAUGGAUUCAAAAUGGGAACUUCGUGGAAAUUGAUUGCCAUGCUAUAAAUUCUCAUUUUUAGCCAUGUGAAGAACAUUUACAGGUCUAGGAACUCCAUCAGCUUGAGUGUAGUCAUCUGCUUUGAAAAUGAAACAAUAAUUUAUGAAAUGUACCCUUCCAUCACUUUUGUCUAUAUCCUCAUUCUUGUAAACUAAUCUGAUUGGAACUUAUUAUUUUAGGUCGGAUCUGUGACAGCUAUAUGCUUCAUUUGUUUCCUA